UCCAGCGUUUGCUCAUCCUGUUCCAGGAAAUUCCUCUUGAUCACAAAAUAAGGCCCUGGCCCCUAGGCCUUUCCCUCUAUGGGUACCCCAUCUAUCUCAGCCACCUCCUUCCU